rnacentral:tRNA from 1 species
GGGCGAUUAGCUCAGCCGGUUAGAGCGCAUCUCUGAUAAGGAUGAGGUCCCUGGUUCGAGUCCAGGAUCGCCCA